GAUGAACGCUGGCGGCGUGCCUAAUACAUGCAAGUCGAGCGAACAGACGAGGAGCUUGCUCCUCUGACGUUAGCGGCGGACGGGUGAGUAACACGUGGAUAACCUACCUAUAAGACUGGGAUAACUUCGGAAACCGGAGCUAAUACCGGGUAAUAUAUUUAACCGCCUGGGUCAAUAGUGAAAGACGGUUUUGCUGUUACUUAUAGAUGGGUCCGCGCCGCAUUAGCUAGUUGGUAAGGUAACGGCUUACCAAGGCAACGAUGCGUAGCCGACCUGAGAGGGUGAUCGGCCACACUGGAACUGAGACACGGUCCAGACUCCUACGGGAGGCAGCAGUAGGGAAUCUUCCGCAAUGGGCGAAAGCCUGACGGAGCAACGCCGCGUGAGUGAUGAAGGUCUUCGGAUCGUAAAACUCUGUUAUUAGGGAAGAACAAAUGUGUAAGUAACUAUGCACGUCUUGACGGUACCUAAUCAGAAAGCCACGGCUAACUACGUG
rnacentral:rRNA from 1 species